UCAAAAGAAAUAAGCAAAACUCAAAUAAAAUAAUUAACAACUUAGGUAUUCUUUCUUUCUUAAUAAUGCUUAUAUAACUCCAUAACUUAAAGGGUACUUGUACGAUUUGUAUGUGUACGUGUACGGUUAAAAACUGUUCCUCGACGGCGUCUCUGAAACGGGUUGCCCAUCACUGUGGCUUUAGCGCAGGCGCCGUGGGAAUUGUAGUCCUUUAUAGUGCGUUAACUACAGACGUCACAAUUACGUGGCCUUUCUUAGAAAAUCAAAAUACUGGCUCUAACAGGCAGUGUGUCAGAAACAUUUAUAAACCACGCCUGCUAAAUGUUUCUGAAAUAAAAUCAUGCAAUGCUACACUAAACUGAUUAGGACACUAUGAGGUGCACUUUUUUGCUGAUAGCAAGAUGAGGGGAAUAUUACCACCAACCUCAUGUAUUAAUCAUAAAUAGAAUGCUAAAGCCUGGAAAAUGUGUUAGCUUAGCUUAACAUACACAAGUCACUGUCCAGCCCAGUAUGUACAAAUCAGGUUAAGAUUGGAUAUUUAGAUAAGAUAAGAUGUUAAGUGGUGAGUAUUAGAGGUGCUAGUUGUUGGAGCUAGGCUAAUUAUUUUAAGAGUUUCAAGUUAUUGUACUUGUAUGUACAAUGUAUUUGUCAAAUCAGUGUUAAUAGCCAGUGUAUAAUAUUGAAGACAAAUCAUUUACUUAUUUUCGUCCAACACUAGUGGUACCGUUAAUGUCACGAUCCUUUACAAGACAACAUUUCCCCCUUUUUCUACAGCUAAAUGACCCCUUGCAUGCAAUAAUUCAAUGUGACACCGUGAUAUUGGGAGUCUAAUAUUCAUUUUAACCCAGUUAAUGUGCUUUUCUGCGUCUUACUGAAUACUUCAGUGUUAAUGUGUGUGUCCCCUCUCAGCUCUGAGUACCUUCAACCCAGCUGUGUUUGUGCUGAAUGAAAUGCUGAAGCAGCAGCUGGCCAUGACGCAGCGUUUCAUCGAUAGCAGCCGACACCUCCACUGCAGCCUGCUGCAGAGCCUGGGCCCCCCCGACUACAGAUACACCACGCUGGAGGACACCAAGGAGUCCAUCCGUCGGCACAGAGGCCACAGACUGAGGCUGAAGGCACAGAGCAGCAGCAGGAGGUGACUGUCCAUCUGCUGCCGACUGUCCUGGAUUACUCUUUUUAUACAUAAUUAAAACAUAUUUUUCGAAUAUGGGAAGGAUGUAGAGUAUUUGUUGUUUAUCAGUCAGAGAACAUGCCAAGAAGAAUGUAAUGCUUUUGUAAAAUCACAUCAUACAGUUUUAAAUGUGUCAAUUUGAAAUCAUGCAAUGUGUGGCCUCUUGAAUGAAUGAAGCGGUUUUGUAAAUUAUUUUUAUUUUUUAUAUUAAAAAGAGAUGACAACGUC